ensembl:miRNA gmo-mir-11268 gmo-mir-11268
UCGGUACACUUGUGAUUGACCUCAUGCAAAUGCAGCAGUGUGUGUGUCGGACAUGCGUGCAUGCGUGUGUCUGUUUGUGUGCGU